ensembl:lncRNA
CCCCCCCCCCCCCCCCAUUUUAGGGCAAAGAAGAUGGAAGUGGUCACUGUAUGAAAUAUGUUUAAACUUUUGCAAUGUUAUUAUAAUAAAGAUCUGCAAUUUAUCUAAAAUCUCUUCCAUUUUGAAGUGUUUUUUUUUUUUUGUAAUCCAAAACCUAUUUCUAUACAGGGAAUAAAUAAUAAACAGUAAACAAACAACAAACACAUCUUCCAGAAAGUUUGACGUGAAAAAUAUGAAUAUCUUUAUCACCAAUUCUCUUAUAAACAUUUUCUUUUUCCAAUUUCUAAGAGGUGAAUGACAUAAUAUGAUACAAAGUUAGUGCUUCAAGACAUUUUUGUGCUAUCUGUACAAAACGAACAAUACGGAAGACUGAAGAAACAAAAACAAAAAUCCCCCUCACAGCAGCAAAAAAUAGAAGAUAAAAUAAAGAGGGAGACAAACACCUGUUCACAUUAAUAAAUCCAUUGCUAUUCUAAAAGCUUAUAAUGACGGUAUACAUACUUUCAUAAGUGGCAAAUAAAUAACUAAUUUAAAAUAGCCUUUUUAAUAAAAUACCAACACCAAGCAAAAUCAAAGCCAUACAAAGUUAUAUCAUGCUGUCAUUCAUACUUUCUCAGACGCUCCAUUUACACCUUUAAAUUAUCUAAAGAUAUUAAUUCAAACAUUGUAAAUAUUAAAACAUCUCAACACAAAAUUCAAGUGAAAAUUUACACAAACCAUCAAAUGAAAUCAAAGAUCAUGAUUGAAGAAAAACUGACUAACUGUCACCCCUUUAAGCUCAAAUCUCUACUAGAGCUGAGGCAAAAUGUCACCGUUCGUUCUAUUAAGACCAAAUACUGAUUAUAUCUCCAUCUGCCUGAAUUAAAUCUGUGGAAUCUCAUACCAUAAAUAACACAUUUAAAUAAAACAUUGGCAUGACUCAAUGUUGAAAAAAUAACCUUCGAGUUAAUAUAUAUUUCCAUGCAGUAUCUCAUCUCACAUCUCAAAAAAGCUUUUAAAAAUGACGAAAAAUCUUUUUUUAUUCUUUUUUUUACGUACAUUAUCAUGUCUUGGGCAGUUUCCAAGCUGCAACUGUUGCUCUGUGAAUAAGUUUUGUGCUCUGAAAUGGCUCCCUAUCUGACAUCUAAUGCACUAAACAGGGUGUUGAGUGGCUAUUAAAGCUUAGCCUUAGGCCCUACAGUGCACUGCAUAAUGAAAUGGAAACCAUUUUGGUAUUAGCCCUGGAAUCAUCAGUCGCACAGACACUUUCCCAUCAUGCACAGAGAAAACAACACAUUCGUCUCAUCAAAAAAAGUCACAACUCUGUAAGAUAAGCAUAGUUCUGAAGCUUCAUAUUUACAUGAAUACAACGCGUGCAAAUGAGCAGAUCGCUUUCCUACACACAGAGAGAAGCAUGAGGUGAGAACCCAGACUUUGUAAUAGGGAGCAUGGAGCUAUACAACAUAUACAUUCACUGAGCACUUUAUUAGGAACACCUGUACACCUACUCAUUCAUGCACCUCUCUAGCCGCCAAUCGUGUGGCAGCAGUGCGGUGCAUAAAAGUGCAGUGCAUCGAGUAAUGUUCACAUAAACCAUUAGAAUGGGGGAAAAUAUGAUCGUGAUUUUGACCGUGGCAUGAUUGUUGUUGCCAGGUGGCCUGGUUUGAGUAUUUCUAUGACCGCUGAUCUCCUGGGACUUUCACACAACAGUUUCUAGAGUUUACUCAGACGGUGCAAUAAAGAAAAACGUACAGAUUGGCAGUUCUGAGCACGGAAACGCCUUCUUGAUGAGAGAGGUCAAUGGAGAAUGGCUAGAUUGGUUCGAGCUGACGGAAAGGCUACAGUAACUCAGAUAACCACUCUGUACAAUUGUGGUGAGCAGAAAAGCAUCUCAAACUGCACAACAUGUCACACCUCGAGUCAGAUAGGCUACAACAGCAGAAGACCACAUAGGUCUGUGAGCCAAGAAUAGAAAGCUGAGGCUGCAGUGGGCACAGACUCACCAAACUGGACAGUUGAAAACUGGAAAAAACGUAGCCUGGUUUGAUGAAUUUCGAUUUCUGCUGAAGGACACAGAUGGAAGGGUCAGAAUUUGGUGCCAACAGCAUGAAUCCAUGGACCCAACCUGCCUUGUGUCAACAGUCCAGACUGGUGGAGGUGGUGUAAUGAUGUGGAGAAUGUUUACAUGACACACUCUGGACUCGUUAAUCCCGAUCAAUCAUCGCUUGAGUGCCACAUCCUACUUGAGUAUUGUAGCUGAUCGAGUUUCAUGAACAUGACAGUGAGUUCAGUGUUCUUCAGUGGUCUUUCCAGGUGACUGGGAUGUGGUACAACGAGAGAUUCGCAGCAUGAAAGUGCACCUGAAAAAUCUGCAGGAAUUGUAUGAUGCAUGUCAUCAUGUCAACAUGGACCAGAAUCUCAUAGGAAUGUUUCCAACAUCUUGUGGAAUCCAUGCCAUGAAGAUUUGAGAUACUAUACUAUUAGCAUAGUGUUCCUAAUAAUGUGCUCAGUGAGUGUAGUUUUUAUGUUUUUUAACACACCCUCAUUGACUUCCCCUCACCACAUGCCAUUUUAAAGCAUCUCACUUUAUUAGCUCAAGGGAAGUUUACAGAUGUGCGUUAGAUGAGGAAGUGAGAGAGCCACUGUUGAAGAGAUCAAUGUAGUAUUAAUGUUCCAGGUGAUAUCAUCAACAAGACCAGGAUACAAAAAAAACAACCCUAUUAUUAAUUAAUGUCUUAGCAAACUUUCAAUACUUGACACCCAAAUACUGGUUUUAAGGCACCCUCAUUAACAAUUCUGAGGUCACUCAGUAGCCCCCCCCCC